rnacentral:rRNA from 1 species
AGCGAACGCUGGCGGCAGGCUUAACACAUGCAAGUCGAGCGGGCCCUUCGGGGUCAGCGGCCGACGGGUGAGUAACACGUGGGAACGUACCCUUUGGUUCGGAAUAACGCUGGGAAACUAGCGCUAAUACCGGAUACGCCCUUUUGGGGAAAGGCUUGCUGCCGAAGGAUCGGCCCGCGUCUGAUUAGCUAGUUGGUGGGGUAAUGGCCUACCAAGGCGACGAUCAGUAGCUGGUCUGAGAGGAUGAUCAGCCACACUGGGACUGAGACACGGCCCAGACUCCUACGGGGGGCAGCAGUGGGGAAUAUUGGACAAUGGGCGCAAGCCUGAUCCAGCCAUGCCGCGUGAGUGAUGAAGGCCUUAGGGUUGUAAAGCUCUUUUGUCCGGGACGAUAAUGACGGUACCGGAAGAAUAAGCCCCGGCUAACUUCGUG